UACGAAGGGGGCGAGCGUUGUUCGGAAUUAUUGGGCGUAAAGCGCGCGCAGGCGGUUCUUUUAAGUCUGGUGUUUAAACCCGAGGCUCAACUUCGGGUCGCACUGGAAACUGGGGGACUUGAGUGCAGAAGAGGAGAGUGGAAUUCCACGUGUAGCGGUGAAAUGCGUAGAUAUGUGGAGGAACACCUGUGGCGAAAGCGGCUCACUGGACCACACUGACGCUGAUGCACGAAAGCUAGGGGAGCAAACAGG
rnacentral:rRNA from 1 species